rnacentral:lncRNA from 1 species
CCUGUUCAUGGAUCCCAAGGGCUCCAAGCAGCCUCCACAGGAAGUACCAAACUUCUUGAGCCUGCCGCCACAACCCCAACAACACCACCAACAUCCACAACCCCAACAACAGCAGCAACAGCCUCAAAACAUGGGUGAGAACAAACCAGCUGAAAUCAAGGAUUUCCAGAUUGUUAUUGCAGAUAAAGAAGAAGGGAAGAAACAACAGCUGGCCCCAAAAAGAAGUUCUAACAAAGACAGGCAUACCAAAGUUGAAGGAAGAGGUAGAAGGAUAAGGAUGCCUGCUUUAUGUGCAGCUAGAAUCUUUCAGUUGACCAGGGAAUUGGG